rnacentral:rRNA from 1 species
CCCUUAGAUGUUCUGGGCCGCACGCGUGCUACACUGAUGCAUUCAACGAGUCUAAAACCUGGUCUGAUAGGGCUGGGUAGUCUUUUGAAAGUGCAUCGUGAUUGGGAUAGAUGAUUGCAAUUCUUCAUCUUCAACGAGGAAUGCCUAGUAAACGCAAGUCAUCAGCUUGCAUUGAUUACGUCCCUGCCCUUUGUACACACCGCCCGUCGCUCCUACCGAUUGAAUGAUCCGAUGAAUACCAUGGAUUGAGAGUACGAAUAGGUUCGCUUAUUUCUGCUGCUCGAGAAGUGGAGUAAAUCUUAUCAUUUAGAGGAAGGAGAAGUCGUAACA